rnacentral:rRNA from 1 species
ACGUGCUACAAUGGGGCCGACAGAGGGAGGCGGACGCGCGAGCGCGAGCGGACCCCAAAAACGGCCCCCCAGUUCGGACUGCAGCCUGCAACCCGGCUGCACGAAGCCGGAAUCGCUAGUAAUCGCGGAUCAGAACGCCGCGGUGAAUACGUUCCCGGGUCUUGUACACACCGCCCGUCAAGCCAUGGGAGCCGGGGGCGCCUGAAGUCCGGGACCGCGAGGACCGGCCUAGGGCGAAACUGGUAACUGGGGCUAAGUCGUAACAAGGUAGC